rnacentral:lncRNA from 1 species
GGCUGAAGCCUUUUAACUGUAAUCUUCUGUACUAUGAUAGACUUAGGAUGAAUACUGAUUUGGAGAAAGAGAUUGGAGCAAAGUUUGAGGAGGACCUUGAUGCAAUGCUUCCAAAGUGUGAUGUAAUUGUUAUCAACAUGCCUCUUACUGAACAGACAAGGUAUACUUUCUAUAUCUCAAACAAUCAAAAACACUAUCUACACUUGAAAUCUUGAUCCAUUUACAAUGUUCAAGACUAUUAUGAGCAGUGCAUAAUCAGUAUUUGUUAGGAUAAAUUCAUAGCCAAUCCAAGAUUAAAAAAUAAAAAAAAGGCAAGUAUUUCAAUUGAGUGAUGUAUAUGUUAUAUUAUAUGUAUAUUUCAUGCUAUUUGUUGUACUGGUCUAGACAUAGGUUAUGCAAGAAUAUUCAAAGGAUUUCCAAGUGAUUAGUAGUGACCAAUGGCUUUUUGUGAUUCAGAGGAUUGUUUGACAAAAACAGAAUUGCUAAGUGCAAGAAAGGUGUGGUGAUUGUUAACAAUGCUCGAGGGGCAAUUAUGGACACCCAAGCAAUUGCUGAUGCUUGCUCUAGUGGCCACGUUGCAGGUAAUUCUAAAACCAUAUGACAAAAAAAAACAUUGUGGAUCCAGCACCAAAACAUGAAAUUAUUAUUGAACUAAUGUAAUAGCAUAAUUUUGUUAGAUAUUAAAAUCAUUUAUGUACUUAAGUUUACAGCUGGUUCAUGACAAAUUUAAUUUAUGUGACAAGGAAUCAGUUCAAUUGCUGUUUGUUCAUAUUCCCAUCUAAGUUGUUCAGAGGUGGCAAAGUUUUACAUCAUCAUUGCUAAUUGUUUUCUUUUCCUUUCCAAAUUUCUUAAAUCUAUAGGCUAUGGUGGUGAUGUUUGGCCCAUACAACCAGCUCCAAAGGACCAUCCAUGGCGCUACAUGCCAAACCAUGCCAUGACUCCUCAUAUUUCUGGCACCACCAUUGAUGCACAGGUAUUUUCAUUAAGUUUCUAUAUCAUUAUUCAUUAGCUUAGCUUUUUGUGUCUAAGUUCUUUCUUUCACUUGAUGGAACACUAAUUAAUUAAUUAAUACUAAACCAUACUUGUUUUUCAGUUACGUUAUGCUGCUGGUGUCAAAGACAUGCUUGAUAGGCACUUCAAGGGUGAAGACUUUCCAGAACAAAACUACAUUGUGAAGGAGGGUCAACUUGCAAGCCAGUAUCGUUGAAGUGAUGCUUUUGUUGAAUUUGAAUCUUCCAUUUUAAAGUUCCACGGAUUAGCAAAUAAAGAUCUAUAUAGAGGGCACUCUAAUUAUAUAAUGUACUUGCUUUGUUGAAUUUGAACUCGUUUAAUUGAUGUCAGAAAUAAAAUUGUAAGGAACACUUUCCAUGUUCCAUGUAUUGAUCUUGUGUUUUUCGAAUUUGAAUGUAAUACUUGUCAUGUGAGGAAUGAAAAUUAACGAACAAUAUGUCUAUCAAGACUAUGAAGGAAGGGUUGAAAAAAGUGAAUUUGCGUAUGUUGUUGACAAGAUUAAUGGGAGGCUAACUGGUUAGAAAGGUAGAAAGGUAAACUUUUAAAAAGGUAUGCAUUUCUUUUAACCUCACUUUCCAGCAAACAUAUCGUGUAGCCAAUGAAUGUGCUGAUUAGUUGCCAAGGAAUGGAGCCUCCUAUUAUCAUGCAUUUGUCAAUUGGGAUACUUUCCCAAUACAACUAUGCUGUCUGUUUUGCUACUAAAUUCUUUAGGCAUUGUUACACUAAUGUGUUGGUAUUUUGAGAAAAAAAAUAAUCAAAUCAAACUAAAUCACUUUAUAAAAACCGAUCCGUUUAGUUCAUUUUAUUUUUAAAGACAUCAAAUCAUAUGAGUGUGAAAUGGAUAAUUAAAUUGAGUCAAACCAAUUUGUUCUUUUAACUAAAGGGUCUAAGUUGGUCGAACAGAUUCAUAAGUGUUAUAAACUCUUAAUACCAUCUUUAAACAAAUCAAUCCAUUUUAAAAAAAUCAAAUUAUUUAUUUUAUAAAAAAUGGUCCAUUUGUUUCUAGAAAAUAGUUUGAUUUGGUUGAAUUUUUUUUCAAAAAUAUUUAAUUGUGCACAACCUAAUUUCAACUCCACCUUAGAUAAAGUAUUAUCAACUUGAUCUUCAUCAUAAUACUUCAUCCAGUCUUAAAUAUAAGAAGAAGAAGAAGAAAAAUAUUUUUUUUAUCUUAAAUAUAAAUUUUUUUAACUAACUUUACUUUAUAUAAUUUUAUUAUCUCUAAAAUAUCUUUCAUUUUAUUAAAGUGAUCAUUUCAAUGACUCUUUUAUACUAAGUUCUAAGAUAAAUGGAAAGAAAAAAAAUACUUAAAAUGAAUGUAAAUGAAGUGUGAUUAAUUAAUUUUCUUCAUUAAUAUAAUAUUUUUUUCUUAUUAUAUUUCAAACUAGAGGGAGUAAUUUCAAUUCAACCUCACUCAUAGUAAUUCCAAUUCCGUCUUGGUCAUAGUAAUUUCAUCUCGACUUUGAUUAGAAUAUUUUCACUUCAUUAUUUGUUAUAUAUAUAUAUAUAUAUAUAUAUAUAUAUAUAUAUAGUUGUAUAUUUAAAUUAAAUUUGAAAUUAGGAAACCGGAUAAGAUCGUGCUUACGAGGUAGAGUACUUGAAUUGAACGCAUAAAGCCAAAUAAGGAAAAAAUAACUAAAAGUCAAAUAAGAGAGUGGCACGUAAGAAUUGAAAGGCACAUCUGUAUAAAUACCAGUGAAGAAAUUGGACAGACAGACACAACUGCGACUUAGUUCAUCCCUUCUCAAGCCACCGAAGCCUCACUUUUGUAUUCUUCCCUCUCCCAAUAUUUUCUUCUUCUUCUUCUUAUUAUUAUUAUUAUCAUUUUUUCUAUAUAAACCUCACCUUAAUUACUCUACUCUUCUCUCUAAUUACAAUUUUCUAUUUUGUUUUAAUUAGUGAAAUUACUUGCAUAGAUAGAUAAUCAUGGCUAUGAUGAAACGUGCUGCUUCCUCUGCGCUUCGCUCUCUUAUUGCCUCAUCCUCCACCUUCACCAGAAACCUUCAUGUAAGCCCAAUCAAAUGUUACAAAUUAAUUGCAUGUUUUUUUUUAAAAACAUUAUUAUUUUCUCAAACUCAUGAUUUUUGUGUCAAUUAUAUUAAUUUAACUUAACAUUUCUUCUGGGAUUUGGUCCUGUGAAGUUUUUGUUGUACUUUCUCUCUCUUGCAUGCUUGAUCCAUCAUGAUCACGGGAUGCCAAAGUUUCUCUCUCUUUGUAUUGUGAUGUGCGUUUCUGAUUGGUUUUGCUUUACAUCGGAACUACGCGUGGUGGUAUUCCCUGUCAUCAAACUUAUCACUUGUGUUCCUAUAAAGAAUAAAUAGUGGGACUUAAUGUAAUAUUAGAUAACAUUAUUUUCUGUUUUUAUUAUAAAUUUAUAAAACUGUUACUUUGUUUUUUAUCCCUUUCCUAAUUUUAAGGAUUUUACAGAGAGGAAAUAAUGAAAACAUUAUUUUGUGUUCAAAUUGUUAAAAACAAAACCAAAAAAUAAAAAACUGAUUAAAAAUAAUGUAUUUUAUUUUCAAUACCCCAACAAGAACCAUCCUGCCUAGGACCCUUCUAAUAUCGAAAGGCACCAACAACUGGCCCUAUUAUUAUUCUCAUUUGUCCAGGGAAGGCUGCAGGCAUGAGGCACCAAACCAAGGGAUUUAAAAUUUAUUAAAAGUCAGGGAAUGAUUAAAUAAAGAGUUGAAUUCCCAGAAUUUUAUACUUAAUCAAAUUUCACUCAGCAAAAAAUUAUCAAAAAAUAUAUUAUUCCCAUUUGUCUGUCUUUAUUUAUGUCAUCUAUUUUAAUUUUUCUGAUGUAUUUAACUGGGGCCAAACUGAAACAUGUUCAUCAUGCAAAGGCCUACUCACCAUUUCACAUGUACGUGUCAUCACCCAGCAACCCCAUUUUUCUACAUAACACACACUCCCUCUCCAACACUCACACUCCAAUAACAAAUAUUUCACUAGCUACUACUCUUCUUAGUUUCUCUGUUGUAUCAUUUUUAUUGCUAUAUCCUAAUCAAACUUCACUCUCAAAAUGAGUGAUCCCACACUAGCACAACAGCAUCUAGUCAAAGUCCACACAACAACACACGAAACAGUUGUUACCACACACAAUCAUAACCAAACACCCUCAAUAAAUGUGUGUUACUGAAUUAUUUAAUUAUUUGUACACCUAACUAUGAUUAAUAUUUAAUUCUUCAAAACUUUGUUUAUGCAUGAUAACCGUGAUUAAUUUUUAUUUUUUUCCCCUAUGAUUGAGAACAGGCCUCAGGUGAAAAGAAGAAGAUUGUGGGGGUGUUCUACAAAGGGAAUGAAUAUGCUAAAUUGAAUCCAAAUUUUGUUGGAUGUGUUGAAGGUGCAUUGGGAAUACGUGAGUGGCUGGAAUCACAGGGUCAUCAGUACAUUGUCACUGAUGACAAAGAAGGACCUGAUUCUGGUUAGUACUUAGUAUCUUGCCAACUUAAUUCAAGUUUGAGUAAACUAUUAUUUUGAUGAUUUGAUCUAUAAAAGUGUACAACAUUGUGAAAUUAGUCUCUAACAUUGUCACAUUAGUCUCUGAAAUUAAGAUAAUUUCAUAUGACAAAUGACAUGUUAUUAACUCUUUUUCGUACUGUAAAUUGAAAAAUGUGGCUACGUGUUAUAUGAAAAUUGGUUGGGACCUGGUCUCGGAUCAUGUAAUAAUUUCUAUCAAACAAGGUAUCAGAGUAAUCAACACUAUAAUAUCAUGGAAUGCAAAUGUGUUUGUCCCUUCAAGAUUUUAAUUGCUUGAACUCAAUGGAAUUUGAUGUUCUGCUGCAGAACUUGAGAAACACAUUCCAGAUGCACAUGUCAUCAUAUCUACUCCAUUCCACCCCGCCUAUGUCACCGCAGAAAGAAUUAAGAAAGCCAAAAAUUUGGAGCUGCUUUUGACUGCUGGCAUUGGUUCUGAUCAUGUUGAUCUCAAAGCUGCAGCUGCUGCUGGUUUAACUGUGGCAGAGGUCACAGGAAGCAACGUUGUGUCGGUUGCGGAGGACGAACUCAUGAGAAUCCUCAUUCUAAUGAGGAAUUUCUUGCCAGGGUACCAUCAGGCUGUUAAUGGGGAAUGGAAUGUUGCUGGCAUUGCACAUAGAGCUUAUGAUCUUGAAGGAAAGACAGUAGGAACCGUUGGCGCGGGUCGAAUUGGGAAGCUUUUGCUCCAGAGGUUGAAACCUUUUAGCUGUAAUCUUCUUUAUUUUGAUCGACUUAGGAUAGAUCCUGAAUUGGAGAAAGAGAUUGGAGCAAAAUUUGAGGAGGACCUUGAUGCAAUGCUUCCAAAGUGUGAUGUGAUUGUUAUCAACACCCCUCUCACUGAGCAGACAAGGUAUACUUUUAAAUUUAACAUCUCAGUCAAUCAGAAAAAUUAUUUUAGACUUGAAAUCUCAAGCCACUUAUAAUUUUCAAAAUUAUUAUCAUGAGAAGUGCAUUAUCAGUAU